GCGUUCGUAGCUCAACUGGAUAGAGCAACAGACUUCGGAUCUGUAGGUUAUGGGUUCAAUUCCUAUCGGGCGCA
rnacentral:tRNA from 4 species